GAGAUAAGAAACAAACAUUGAAUGGUGAAACAUUACAAAAUAAAUGGUGAUACAUUACAAUAUACUUUAAUAAUAAAUGCAGCAUGGAGUUAAAAGAACUUGGUUUUGAAAGUCAAUUCAUUUGUGAAAAGGUUUAACUUGUUGAAAGUUGAAACUAAGUUGAAACUGUUUAACCUAUAUAUUUUUACAGUGUAUGCAUGUAAUGGAAUAGCAAUUUUAAGAUAGAAAAGUUUGGAGACAAACUUUAUGUUGGCUUGACAAAGCCUGGCCUGAACGUUUAAAACAGAUAGACAGAAACUUAAAACAACUUCAGUUUAGUAGUCUAACUUUCCGUAAAAAUUAUUUAACAUAAAGUUAACAUGUUAGCAUGAUUUAUCAUGAAGCAAACAUGAUGUUAACAUGGUUUAACAUGAAGUUAGCAUGAUGUUAAUGUAGCAGAAUGAAGAGUAUUCGGGUUGAUUAUUGGCCAGUGUCAUGUGAAAACCUUGAACCUAUCAGCAGUUGGCUGGCAGGGUAUAAAAUGAGGACGCGUUUGUUACCUGGGAUGCGUCGUCAUUCGUACCGCCCCUUUACGGAAGUUGCAAUUUAUGAAUGGGAGAGUUUCUGAAGUGCCGUCUCGCUGUUCUGCUGCUGUGUGUAGGCUGCCCCUGGCUUUGAGUUUGUCAACAAACAAUCCACUGCAUGUAAUGGUCCGGAGAUUGGGCAUAGUAUUAGAUUACUACAGAAGUUGCCAUUUAUGAACGGGAGCGUUUUGGAAGUGCCGUCUUUCUGUUCUGCUGCUGUGCGGAGGCUGCCCUUGGCUUUGAGCUCGUCAACAAACAAUCCACUGCAUGUUAUGGUCCGAGACCGUGCAUAGCACCACAUUAUGAACAUCAUCUGAUGGAGUGAAAGGCACAAGGGUUUCAUCUUUAUAUUUCGGGACGAGAUGCGCGUUUGUUAAUGAACGCACUGCUGCCUUGCCUGUACUGUGUUUGUCGUUUCCUUAUUUAAGCAAAUAACUUUCAUUUUAGUAAACCUGAACGUGGCUGUCUCUCGCUGGUUUGCCCUGUUUUUUUGAAUGUGUCGUCGAUUGGAGUUUGUUUUGAUUUGUCAUUUUGUUUCAAACCAUCAAUGAGAUUUUGUUUUCUUUUGUUUUGUGUUCACUUGUGUAUUUUGCAAUUUAAUUUAUUUUCUUUGUUAGAUUUAAGUUUAGUUGAGUUCCCAAAACGAAAGUGACAUUAAUAUUGUUUUUUUUUUGUUUUUCUUUUGUUGUGAACUGAUUUUCUCCCCUUUUGGGGGGGCUUGCUUUUGCCAGUUAAUGUUUAUUGUGUGUCUUUUGCUCUUUAUUUAUCGCGUGACGAAGGGGGUUUAUAGAGGAGGGGUUUAGCCGCUAUUUAACGGGUUCACACUGAGUGCAGUGCAUUGAUUGACUUGAUUUCACCAGUGUGGGUGUGUGUGGAUAUUAAGUGUGUCAUGUACGGAUAUUAAGCUUGUCGUGUGUAUUGAGGGUCAUAGCAGGCCAUCACCCUACCCCUUAAGCCUUCUCGUGUAUCUGUUUCUUUUUGUGUUCAUUUUUCUUUUUGAACUUUUGUAAAGUGUUGCAUUUAGCUUUGAUAUGUGGCUAUUGAACCUAUGAUGUCAAUGUGUUGGGUUUUUAACUUUUGUAUUUAAAUAAAGCUGCUUAUCUUUGGUA